UCAAUCUCACUCCUUACGCAAUUCUCAUCCUCACCGCUAUCUUCUCGGUUUUCUGGUGGUACCUUUUCAAACGCCAACCGCAACCGCCUCUGCCGCCUGGACCGCGAGGGCUACCAAUCGUCGGAAACCUCCCGUUUCUUGACCCUGACCUUCACAACUAUUUCACAAACAUCGCUCAGAAAUACGGUCCAAUCUUCAAACUCAAUCUCGGCUCAAAGCUAACCGUCGUGGUCAACUCUCCAUCGCUGGCUCGAGAGAUCUUGAAAGACCAAGACAUCAACUUCUCAAACCGAGAUGUCCCUCUCACGGGCCGAGCCGCUACUUAUGGUGGUAUUGACAUCGUCUGGUUACCAUAUGGUGCCGAAUGGAGAAUGCUUAGAAAAGUUUGCGUUCUCAAGCUUCUUAGCCGCAAAACUUUGGAUUCUUUCUACGAGCUUCGACGCAAAGAAAUCAGGGAAAGAACGAGGUAUUUGUACCAGCAAGGUCAGCUAGAAUCACCGGUGAAUGUCGGAGAUCAGUUGUUCUUGACGAUGAUGAAUCUAACGAUGAAUAUGUUAUGGGGAGGUUCGGUGAAAGCAGAGGAGAUGGAGAGUGUUGGAACAGAGUUUAAAGGAGUGAUUUCUGAGAUAACUAGGCUUUUGGGUGAGCCUAAUGUUUCGGAUUUUUUCCCGUGGAUAGCAAGAUUCGAUCUUCAAGGGCUUGUGAAGAAGAUGCGUGUGUGUGCUCAUGAGCUCGAUGCUAUAUUCGAUCGAGCCAUUGAGCACAUGCAAAGGCUAAAAAGUAGGGAUGAUGAUGGUGAAUGCAAAGACUUUUUGCAACAUAUGAUGAAGUUAAAGGACCAAGAAGUUGACUCAGAGGUUCCCAUUACGGUUAACCAUGUCAAAGCCGUACUCAUGGUAAUUAAUUUGGUUUUCAGUUUCAUAAUCUUAGAAUAUAAAACUUGCAUUUGGGAGGAUACCAAACUUCUGGAAAGUGAAAAAAAUAAGCAGAAUGGAAUUAACAAAAAGUUAAUAUAGUUACGAAAAUGCUGAAUUAUGGUUUCUAGAUUAAACUUCUCAUUAGUAUUACCAGUAACAUUUGAAACUUCAGAACUUAGAUGUCUGUAGUAGUCAGUAGAAUACAUUGGGCAUGACUGGUAUUGAGGAUAGCUGAAUAAUAGAAUAGUCGAAUCGAAAAAAACCUUAAAUAAAUCUUAAAAUGUCAAAGAUGAAUAAAGUUUUGUAUAAACUAGUUAUAAAUUUAGAACAUGUGUGAUGGAUAGAAAAAUAACGUUUUAAUUUUUACUUUUAUCAUUCAGUGGAAUCAUGUUUUUGAAACUUGAAAAAGAUACAUCAUUGAAACAAUUGGUUACUCUAACUUUUGAUCUGAUAUCUUUAGAAUCCGCCAUUUCUGCGUAUUACCAACCAGAGUUAUAGCUAUUUCAAAUUUUAGAUGACAGCUGCAUGCUAGGUAGAUUAGAUGAUUAUUGGUUCAUGAUACUGAUUUGAUCAAAAUGUUUGUUAUGUAUUUGUGAAGGAUAUGGUGGUCGGUGGUACAGAUACAUCAACGAAUACGAUAGAGUUUGCGAUGGCCGAGCUUAUAAGCAAACCGGAGUUGAUAAAGAGAGCACAGCAAGAGCUAGACGAAGUUGUCGGAAAAGACAAUAUUGUUGAAGAAUCACACAUCACUAGACUUCCUUACAUAUUAGCCAUUAUGAAAGAAACACUUAGGCUUUAUCCAACCAUUCCUUUGUUAGUCCCUCACCGUCCGGCUGAAACCGCGGUAGUGGGCGGCUACACCAUUCCUAAAGACACUAAGAUCUUUAUCAAUGUUUGGUCUAUUCACAGAGAUCCAAAUGUGUGGGAGAAUCCAACUGAGUUUCGUCCUGAGAGGUUUCUUGAUAAUAAAUCUUGUGAUUUCACCGGAACCGAUUAUAGCUUUCUUCCUUUCGGAUCUGGCCGGCGAAUUUGCGCAGGUGUAGCACUCGCCGAGAGGAUGGUCUUGUACACUCUAGCUACGCUAUUGCAUUCGUUUGAUUGGAAGAUUCCAGAAGGACAUGUGUUGGAUUUGGAAGACAAGUUUGGGAUUGUCUUGAAGCUCAAGACCCCUCUUGUUGCCUUGCCCGUUCCGAGAUUGUCCGAUUCAAAUCUUUACCUAUAGAAGCUAAGAUUGUAAUCUUUAGAAAUUCUUGUAUCAUACAAAAACAACAAAUUACUACCGGGUUUUUCGAGGUAAAGUACAAUGUAUUUAUAACGUUUUUUAAGCGUCAUAUGUGAUUCUAUUAUACAAAACCAAAUAAUUAUUACGGUAAAGUAUGAUGUUAUUUACGAAGUUUUAAUAUAAGUUUUAUAAUGUAAAUCAAACGUCAGAUUCGGUAAAAAAAUAACAAAAGUAUUGAAUUUGGACCAUUUGUUUUAUCUAAAUGUUUGGAUAUUAGUUUCGUGCCAGUCCAAUAUUCUCUAAUCUGAACUGCAUAACUCACAUCACAGUUCUCUCUGUUAAUUACUAAAAAUAGAAGAAACAAAACAACUUACUAAACUUAAUUACGAUGAUGGUUGAUAAACGCAAAUUGUGAGUUUCUUACUAAACUUAAUUACGAUGGGUGAUAAACGCAAAUCAGAAAACUUUGAGUUAUAAGCGCAUCUUUAUUGGUGAAAAUCUUUUAAAGUAUCUCAAACAUAAAAAAUACUAGUAUUUAAAUAGAACUUGAUUAUUUUUCAAAAUUUUAAUCUAAAUUAAAAAUUAAACUAAUAUAAAAAGAAUACAUUUGUUUUGAGGUUCUCAUGGGUUCUCAUAAGUUAUCAUUUGAAAAUCUCUUCUCAUUCUCUAUACUCUCGUGAGAAUCUCUCAAUGAAGAUGCUUUUAGAACCUCAAAAACAUCUCUAAAACUAAUUCAAGGACCUCAAAAACAUCUUUAAAAGCUAAUCUAAUUUUCGCUUUAGAUAUAAGUUUAGAGAAAAACCUUCUCAAAUAUUAAUCUAUUCAUACUCUAAGAAAAGCAUACUGGAUCAAUGAUAUGGAUAUAUAGAAAAAAUUUAUGGAAUUUAAAGAUCUAAAAUUAUUUAGACAAAUUUUACAGAAAAAAUGUUAUGAAUGAAUAAUAAUCUAUUGUAAGAAAAAGAAUAGAAUAAUUCUAAAUUGAGUAUAAAGAACUAUUAUUCUGGAAUUAUUAUAUUUUGUUAAACCAUUCGUAAUUUUAACAUAUUUUAAAUUUUCACUAACAUAUUUUAUUUAUAAAAGAAAUAGUAAGUUAAAAAAAAAUUAGUAUGUAUGAAAAGCUUAAAAUAUCUAUCAAAUUUUUUAUUGAGAGAGUAAAAACAGUGGAAAGUACCAUUCUAAACACAGUAAGAGUAUAAGAGCAUGUUUAUCAGGAGUUCAUCAAGAAUUCAUGGCAUAGGUUUUAAGAUGAAAUUCAAUAAAAUAAUAAUUUUAAAUGUAGAGGUUUAUGGUCAAAGUUCUUCUCGACGAAGCUGAAGAAUCCAAAUUCAUCCAGAUUCAUCACACGUAAAGCAUUCUGAUUAGUUCCAAAAAAUAAUUUUCGAAUUUAAAAAAAAUAAAAAAAACAAAAUAAAAAAAGUAUUAUUAUAUUAAGACGAACCCAUUUCUCAGAAGUCAUUGAUGGACAUGGUCUAACAUCCGCUCAAAAAGAUAUCAUCUAGACCCUGAAGUCUUCAUUCAUGAUUGGCUUUCCCCGUUAUUAAUAUAUUACUGUAUACUAUUGGUAAAGUUAAGGUGAAAUAACUAACAUAAAGAACAAUUUCCUUUGUUUUAAUCUCAUAAUUCUCAAAAAUGUCACCGAUUUCACAUCUCUUCACCGACAACACAAUUAAGCUCCUUCCUUAUGCAAUUCUCAUUCUCACAGCAAUCUUUUCAAUUUUCUGGUACCUCUUUAAACGCGGACCGCAACCGCCUCUGCCGCCUGGACCGCGAGGGCUACCUAUUGUCGGAAACCUCCUGUUUCUUGACCCUGACCUUCACACUUACUUUACAAAACUCGCUCAAGAACACGGUCCAAUCUUCAAACUUAAUCUCGGCUCAAAACUAACCGUCGUGGUCAACUCUCCAUCGCUGGCUCGAGAGAUCUU
rnacentral:lncRNA from 1 species